rnacentral:lncRNA from 1 species
CAUUUUGUGGGAAAUUGUACCUUUCACAUCCUGACGUAGCUGUACUGAUGAUAAUCAGAGUUCAUUGGAACCUAUUUUAGAUCUUGACCUGCUGUUUUCAUGCUUUUGUUAUUGCUAUUUCCAUGAGCAUGUAGAAUUAAAUAGCAACAAAAUAGUUUUCACAAUUUUGAUCCUGUUUCUUUUGUUUUAGUCAUUCAAAAUUGUAUUGUCUUCAUGUUUCUACUGAUAUUGUUACCUGAAGGAGUGAAAUGUUGAAUUGGUUAAUCGCUGAACAUGUGAUGUUUGGUCUAAAUGCAAUCUUCUUUGGAGGUUUUAAAGACCGUUACCUGGAAUGGAGUUUGAAUGGGUAAAGUUUUGGGGAGGGGGAGUUAUUAAUAAGGAAUCUUAUGUGAAAUUUGCUGCCUCUGUCAAGUAAUCUAGAGUAUUUUAGAUGCAUCAUGCUGUGGUACAGCUGAUGGAAAUUGGCUGCUCCUUUUGUUACCCUUCCUACUUGUCUAUGGAGAUCUGGGUCAUAAUAUAGCUCAGACAAAAACAUAUAUGAACCUAUUCAUUUUGAAUGACUGAGCCAUUUGUGUUUGUAGUGAGGCAUCACUACCUAGUAUACCACAUUAGGGGUCAUACACGGAAGAAGCAUCUUCUGAGACCCCACUUUGGGCACUUUGUGGUUCAACUGUUGGAUGUGAUUGUUAUACAUAUUGAUAUGUUCUGUGUAACUAAGCACAGAGGGAGAAUGAUGGUGUAGGAGCUAAAUGUGGUUCAAGUAAAAUUUCUUUGUUCUUCAGUUGUUGCAUGAGCUCACGAGGCCUACCCUGAUGUGGUUUUGACACUAAGAUCUCAACCUUUGAAAUCAUUCAUAUUGGUUCCCAAUGGAAAUAUAAUUACUUAAACCUAAUCUUAAGUUUAACUAAUAUGCGCACCAUUCACCAAAAUAAGGUAUGAAAUCAUGCAAGAAGCAUGAUUUAUGUCUGAACUGAUCCUGAUUCCCAUGUGAUAAUAGAUUGUUCUCUAUUGAGGUUGGUUUGUUUCUGACUUUUUCUAUAUUUUGAAUUGUUUGGUUAACCAUAUUGUAAUACCUCAAAAAGCCAUAGUUUGAGCUUAGAGUUCAAGAAGUUGGUUAAAGGAGGGACUAAAAGAAGUUCUUCAUUUUUUUUAUUUUUUCCUUUUUCCUAAUUCUUUCUUGCCAUGACACCCCAGUAAACCACAUUCCUAGCCCCUCAGCAAAUCUGGGGCCUGACACAGCACCUUGUUCUUGUUCAAACAGAGAAUUAUGACCGUCUAGUUUUCCUAUUGCUUAUCCUUCAAUUGUUAAUAAGAUAGAUAUGAACCUUGCAAUUUCAUUCGUUUGAAUGAUCAUUUUUGCCGCAGAACUGUCCACAUGCUUAAAUAAAUCUUCUAUUUGUAAGUAUUUCUGACUGAAAAGUCUCUUUCGUGGCCUUCAUCUUUUUGGUAUUAAAGCUUUUGAGUUACCACUUUAUAUGAUGAUAUUGAUGAUUUAAUGUGAUGAAAUUGUUGGUAACUAGAUAAUGGUGGAUCAAAGAUUUGCAAGAUAGGGCUUCUAUUUUUUCUAUUAGAGAAGUGGCAUAAUCAUGUUUAUACUGUUCAGUUUUUAGAACAAUAAGAGCACACGGAAAGAGCUAUCAUAUGAAAAGUUAGUAUUAAACUAACUUGAUGCUUAAGAAGGUUUAUAUGACAACAGUUUAAGAACUUACAUGAGGAUUUUGGGCGUGGAGAGGAUGAUGAGGAGGUGGAUGUUUGGCAUACUUGAGAAAUACAAAAUUAAAUAUGAAGACAUUAAUGAAUUAAAAAAUGACAGUAAUUGACUGCUAAUUGGUCAUGGUCCAAUAUGGUCUUACCUGGGAUGGAGGUUGGUUGAAAAUGAAUAUUCAAAUUUGUUUGAAGGGUCUAAAAAGAUAACAUGGGAAUAUGGGCAUUAAAAAAGAUCUGGGUGAAAAAGCAGUAUUUGUAAGCUUGCUAUGGAAGGGGAUAUAAGUCAAGAUAGGAUUAAUUGGAGUAGCUUUUGUAAAUCAAAUCCAAUUAUACGAGACAUUCUGGUGGUAAUGCAUGAUACCGAUUACAUAGUAUUAAAAAAUGCACAUUAUGAUGAAAGUUGACCAUGAUGGAACCAAGGUAGACAUAGAAGAAACUUGAUAUGAUAGUGAUUAGAUAACAUAGGCAUGUAAUAUGUGGUGUUGUCUCAUCUGUUGAAGGUUGAGGCUGGUAACUGUUAGGCUAGGUGUGAUAUUACAUAUGAAAGUUUUCACCAUUUUUGCCAGUAAUGUAGUAAUACUUUUGAAGUAAUUUGAAUAUAUGCUUGACAAGGGAUG